UACGUAGGUGGCAAGCGUUGUCCGGAUUUAUUGGGUUUAAAGGGUGCGUAGGCGGUGUCCUAAGUCAGUUGUGAAAUACGGCAGCUUAACUGUCGAGGUGCAAUUGAUACUGGGACACUUGAGUACUGAUGAGGUAUGCGGAAUGGACGGUGUAGCGGUGAAAUGCUUAGAUAUCGUCCAGAACACCGAUAGCGAAGGCAGCAUACUGAGGAGUAACUGACGCUGAGGCACGAAAGUGUGGGGAUCAAACAGG
rnacentral:rRNA from 1 species